rnacentral:rRNA from 1 species
AUGCACAACAAACAUUUCUUAAAAUAUACCACAUUUUUUUUAUUGUCUACGUGGGAGCAUUUGAGGUCGAUCGCACCGCCGGUGACCUCGUGGUGGAGAAGAGCCCGUACAACGCCUUCACCGGGCGUGGAGGAGGUGGUCGUGGCGGGCGUGAUGACCAACCUGUGCUGCGAGACCACCGCGCGGGACGCGUUCCUGAGGGGCUUCCGGGUGUUCUUCUCGGCCGACGCCACGGCCACCGCGAGCUGGGACCUGCACGAGGCGACCCUCCCCAACAUGGCGUACGGGUACGCGUACAUCGUCGACUGCAAGCGGCCACUCAAAAUCACCACAUUGGUCCUUUUUCGUUUUUUCUCUGGAUCUGAAUUUGGCCUUGCACUUAUUGUUCAGAAAGUAAAACAGGAACACAAGGCCAGCACAGAUUUAUUUUGA